rnacentral:rRNA from 1 species
GGUUAAGCGACUAAGCGUACACGGUGGAUGCCCUGGCAGUCAGAGGCGAUGAAGGACGUGCUAAUCUGCGAUAAGCGUCGGUGAGGUGAUAUGAACCGUUAUAACCGGCGAUUUCCGAAUGGGGAAACCCAGUGUGUUUCGACACACUAUCAUUAACUGAAUCCAUAGGUUAAUGAGGCGAACCGGGGGAACUGAAACAUCUAAGUACCCCGAGGAAAAGAAAUCAACCGAGAUUCCCCCAGUAGCGGCGAGCGAACGGGGAGGAGCCCAGAGCCUGAAUCAGUGUGUGUGUUAGUGGAAGCGUCUGGAAAGGCGCGCGAUACAGGGUGACAGCCCCGUACACAAAAAUGCACAUACUGUGAGCUCGAUGAGUAGGGCGGGACACGUGGUAUCCUGUCUGAAUAUGGGGGGACCAUCCUCCAAGGCUAAAUACUCCUGACUGACCGAUAGUGAACCAGUACCGUGAGGGAAAGGCGAAAAGAACCCCGGCGAGGGGAGUGAAAAAGAACCUGAAACCGUGUACGUACAAGCAGUGGGAGCCUCUUAAUGGGGUGACUGCGUACCUUUUGUAUAAUGGGUCAGCGACUUAUAUUCUGUAGCAAGGUUAACCGAAUAGGGGAGCCGAAGGGAAACCGAGUCUUAACUGGGCGUUAAGUUGCAGGGUAUAGACCCGAAACCCGGUGAUCUAGCCAUGGGCAGGUUGAAGGUUGGGUAACACUAACUGGAGGACCGAACCGACUAAUGUUGAAAAAUUAGCGGAUGACUUGUGGCUGGGGGUGAAAGGCCAAUCAAACCGGGAGAUAGCUGGUUCUCCCCGAAAGCUAUUUAGGUAGCGCCUCGUGAAUUCAUCUCCGGGGGUAGAGCACUGUUUCGGCAAGGGGGUCAUCCCGACUUACCAACCCGAUGCAAACUGCGAAUACCGGAGAAUGUUAUCACGGGAGACACACGGCGGGUGCUAACGUCCGUCGUGAAGAGGGAAACAACCCAGACCGCCAGCUAAGGUCCCAAAGUCAUGGUUAAGUGGGAAACGAUGUGGGAAGGCCCAGACAGCCAGGAUGUUGGCUUAGAAGCAGCCAUCAUUUAAAGAAAGCGUAAUAGCUCACUGGUCGAGUCGGCCUGCGCGGAAGAUGUAACGGGGCUAAACCAUGCACCGAAGCUGCGGCAGCGACACUAUGUGUUGUUGGGUAGGGGAGCGUUCUGUAAGCCUGUGAAGGUGUGCUGUGAGGCAUGCUGGAGGUAUCAGAAGUGCGAAUGCUGACAUAAGUAACGAUAAAGCGGGUGAAAAGCCCGCUCGCCGGAAGACCAAGGGUUCCUGUCCAACGUUAAUCGGGGCAGGGUGAGUCGACCCCUAAGGCGAGGCCGAAAGGCGUAGUCGAUGGGAAACAGGUUAAUAUUCCUGUACUUGGUGUUACUGCGAAGGGGGGACGGAGAAGGCUAUGUUGGCCGGGCGACGGUUGUCCCGGUUUAAGCGUGUAGGCUGGUUUUCCAGGCAAAUCCGGAAAACCAAGGCUGAGGCGUGAUGACGAGGCACUACGGUGCUGAAGCGACAAAUGCCCUGCUUCCAGGAAAAGCCUCUAAGCAUCAGGUAACAUUAAAUCGUACCCCAAACCGACACAGGUGGUCAGGUAGAGAAUACCAAGGCGCUUGAGAGAACUCGGGUGAAGGAACUAGGCAAAAUGGUGCCGUAACUUCGGGAGAAGGCACGCUGAUAUGUAGGUGAAGCGACUUGCUCGUGGAGCUGAAAUCAGUCGAAGAUACCAGCUGGCUGCAACUGUUUAUUAAAAACACAGCACUGUGCAAACACGAAAGUGGACGUAUACGGUGUGACGCCUGCCCGGUGCCGGAAGGUUAAUUGAUGGGGUUAGCGGUAACGCGAAGCUCUUGAUCGAAGCCCCGGUAAACGGCGGCCGUAACUAUAACGGUCCUAAGGUAGCGAAAUUCCUUGUCGGGUAAGUUCCGACCUGCACGAAUGGCGUAAUGAUGGCCAGGCUGUCUCCACCCGAGACUCAGUGAAAUUGAACUCGCUGUGAAGAUGCAGUGUACCCGCGGCAAGACGGAAAGACCCCGUGAACCUUUACUAUAGCUUGACACUGAACAUUGAGCCUUGAUGUGUAGGAUAGGUGGGAGGCUUUGAAGUGUGGACGCCAGUCUGCAUGGAGCCGACCUUGAAAUACCACCCUUUAAUGUUUGAUGUUCUAACGUUGGCCCGUAAUCCGGGUUGCGGACAGUGUCUGGUGGGUAGUUUGACUGGGGCGGUCUCCUCCUAAAGAGUAACGGAGGAGCACGAAGGUUGGCUAAUCCUGGUCGGACAUCAGGAGGUUAGUGCAAUGGCAUAAGCCAGCUUGACUGCGAGCGUGACGGCGCGAGCAGGUGCGAAAGCAGGUCAUAGUGAUCCGGUGGUUCUGAAUGGAAGGGCCAUCGCUCAACGGAUAAAAGGUACUCCGGGGAUAACAGGCUGAUACCGCCCAAGAGUUCAUAUCGACGGCGGUGUUUGGCACCUCGAUGUCGGCUCAUCACAUCCUGGGGCUGAAGUAGGUCCCAAGGGUAUGGCUGUUCGCCAUUUAAAGUGGUACGCGAGCUGGGUUUAGAACGUCGUGAGACAGUUCGGUCCCUAUCUGCCGUGGGCGCUGGAGAACUGAGGGGGGCUGCUCCUAGUACGAGAGGACCGGAGUGGACGCAUCACUGGUGUUCGGGUUGUCAUGCCAAUGGCACUGCCCGGUAGCUAAAUGCGGAAGAGAUAAGUGCUGAAAGCAUCUAAGCACGAAACUUGCCCCGAGAUGAGUUCUCCCUGACUCCUUGAGGGUCCUGAAGGAACGUUGAAGACGACGACGUUGAUAGGCCGGGUGUGUAAGCGCAGCGAUGCGUUGAGCUAACCGGUACUAAUGAACCGUGAGGCUUAACCUU